AAUUAUCCAGUGCUUCCUCCACCCUUAAGGAUCCCCUUUUCGUCCUAUCCGCCGUCAAACAUAGGACUCAGUGCAGGGAGCGGCCCCCGCACCCCGAGGGCACUACUGGGGGCGGAGAGUUAAAAACACGGAGAGGAGGACGCUCCGGAGAAGAGGGGAGCAUGGCGGGCAUGAGGUACUGAGUGAAAAGGGGGAUGGCGAGGGAAACGGGGAGCGAGGGAGGGGAGAAAGAGUAAAAAGCGAAGACACGAAGGGACACCAGCCGGGUCGCGCGAGGCCUAAGUGAAAGACCAGGGCGCGCGCGCGGGGGGGAGGGGAAGAGGUGAAGGGGAGCGCGAGGCGGGGGCGCGCGGGCCGGGCUGGGGGAGGGGACGCCAGGCGGGGGCGCGCGGGCGGGCGUCGGCUCGCGGGCGCUUCCCCUCCCCCCGCCCUCCACCUUUCCCCUCCCCCACCGCCGCCUUCUCGCAGCCUCGCUCCCUCCGUCGCUCCUCACCGCCCCCGGGCGGGCUGGCGGGCUGGCGGGCUGGCGGCCAGGCUGGCCUAGGCCAGAGCUCCUCACCUGGCAGCGGCGGCGGAACUCCCGACCAGGUCGCUUCCUCAGGCGGCUGUGAAGGCGUCGAAAAAGGAGGCGGCGACGGCNNNNNNNNNNNNNNNNNNNNNNNNNNNNNNNNNNNNNNNNNNNNNNNNAGGGGGCGGGCCGGGUCGGGGAGGGCGGGCGGGCGGAGCAGACACUGCGGUACAGACAGGGGCAGCAGCGGCGGCGGCGGCUGCACCGGCGGCGGCGGCACCACACAAACAAGGACGCUGAUUGGGCAGCUGCCAAGCGCCUUGACUCCGCCUUAACCACACGCCACGACGGCCAUUGGAGGAACUUAGCCGGCUACCCGCCCUCCUCUUCUUGCUCCUACCAAUUGAAAGCGGGAUACCAAGACUUCACCCCACCCUUGAGGAAUGGGUGGCUGGAGAAGUAGUGAUUGGCGUUAAGAAAAUCCAAUCAUAAAUGGAGAAGGGGGAUGGUCUAGCGGGGGCGCGUUAAUGGGUACCUCGGCCAGUCCCAGACACAUCCGGGUCUUCGACAGCCCAUUAAGUGUCGGGGGUCAAAAAAUCGCUUCAGGCUGCAGCUUUACCUUGUAGACGUUUUGGUCCCCUGGCAGCCGCCGUACCACCUAGUCUCUUAAAACCGGGAUUCUCCUUUGACAGGCUCUCAUUCUUUCUCGUCUAAAGAUGGAGACCGGGAACGGCGCUGGGCUCUGUGUUUGGGUGGGUGGUGUUUCAUCGCGACAGAAUCCAUGAAUUUAAGGACAGGACUAGCUUUAGGAGCUCUGGCCUUGUCUUUCUGGGGUGUGGCCUGCCCCGUUCUGCCCAAGGCCUUGGGACUCGUGUGUUAAUUUACUUCUGACCGGUCCUUUCCUGGUUGUACCGUAACAGCACAAAGAAAAAACAAACAAUUAGCUAAAUGUACUGAAUUUAUGGUGUAUACUCUGGGAUCUGGUCUUUUUCUGUUCACAGUGAGGAUACAGCUUCCCACCCCACCCUAUUGCACUAGCUAAGUCAAGGCCCGGGUUCUUUUGCUAGCCUGGCUAUCUCCUACUUCCUCCAAGAGGUUAGACCCGCCUACAUUCUACGUUUCUAGAACACCAUGAAUAUUCUUUCUGAGCGCCCUAGAAAUGAGAACUAAUUAUC
ensembl:antisense 4930537H20Rik RIKEN cDNA 4930537H20 gene